AACGAACGCUGGCGGCAUGCCUAACACAUGCAAGUCGAACGAGACCUUCGGGUCUAGUGGCGCACGGGUGCGUAACGCGUGGGAACCUGCCCUUAGGUUCGGAAUAACUCCCCGAAAGGGGUGCUAAUACCGGAUAAUGUCUUCGGACCAAAGAUUUGUCGCCUUUGGAUGGGCCCGCGUUGGAUUAGCUAGUUGGUAGGGUAAAAGCCUACCAAGGCGACGAUCCAUAGCUGGUCUGAGAGGAUGAUAAGCCACACUGGGACUGAGACACGGCCCAGACUCCUACGGGAGGCAGCAGUGGGGAAUAUUGGACAAUGGGCGAAAGCCUGAUCCAGCAAUGCCGCGUGAGUGAUGAAGGCCUUAGGGUUGUAAAGCUCUUUUACCCGGGAUGAUAAUGACAGUACCGGGAGAAUAAGCUCCGGCUAACUCCGUG
rnacentral:rRNA from 1 species